GACGAACGCUGGCGGCGUGCCUAAUACAUGCAAGUUGAGCGAUGAAGCUUGGUGCUUGCCCCAAUUUGAAGAGCAGCGAACGGGUGAGUAACGCGUGGGGAAUCUGCCUUUGAGCGGGGGACAACAUUUGGAAACGAAUGCUAAUACCGCAUAACAACUUUAAACAUAAGUUUUAAGUUUGAAAGAUGCAAUUGCAUCACUCAAAGAUGAUCCCGCGUUGUAUUAGCUAGUUGGUGAGGUAAAGGCUCACCAAGGCGAUGAUACAUAGCCGACCUGAGAGGGGGAUCGGCCACAUUGGGACUGAGACACGGCCCAAACUCCUACGGGAGGCAGCAGUAGGGAAUCUUCGGCAAUGGACGAAAGUCUGACCGAGCAACGCCGCGUGAGUGAAGAAGGUUUUCGGAUCGUAAAACUCUGUUGGUAGAGAAGAACGUUGGUGAGAGUGGAAAGCUCAUCAAGUGACGGUAACUACCCAGAAAGGGACGGCUAACUACGUG
rnacentral:rRNA from 1 species